AGAGAAGAUUCUUGCCAGCUGAUAAGGCAGAUCUAUUAUGGACUCAGUCAGGCUUCGAUAAAUUACUACAUAAGGUGAGGAGGGAGAAUUCUUCUGCGUGGUACAAUCGCUAAGCUUGCUUCUAUUGCAUUCCAGUGCUUCUGCUUCAUUCCAGCGCUUCAGACACUUGACGACUACUCAACACAAUGGCCAAGGAUAAUGGGAAGUGUGGUAACUGCGACUGCGCAGCAGGCACCUGCGCCAAGGAGAAUGGCGGCAAAUGUGGCAACUGUGAUUGUGCCGCAGGAACCUGCGCAAAAGAGAACGGAGGGAAGUGUGGCAACUGCGAUUGCGCUGCCGGAAUCUGCGGCAAGGAAUAGACGUCGACGCAAGUUGUUUGACAGAUAUGUAGUGUAGACGAAAACUGGUUUUGCACCUUAUACGCUGAUCUUUACGUAUUGUGAAGCAUACUAGGCUGCACCGUAGAUUUAAGCAGAAUCAAGUGGUUGAAAUCACAUGGCUCUGCGGGACGGAAACAUGUGUACGAGACGGAAAAGUUCUAACGCUUUAAAGACUUGUAUGUUUCGCGCAGCUAUCAAAUAAAAUCAGGGUGCUCUCAGGUGCACUCCUGCUCUCUUCUCUUAA